GAUGAACGCUGGCGGCGUGCCUAAUACAUGCAAGUCGAGCGAAGCGGGGACGGUUGAGUAACACUGGGAUACCCUCCUAUAAGACUGGGUUAACAUCGGGAAACCGGAGCUAAACCGGAUAUUUAUGUAUGGAUUCGCGCUGGACCAGCUAGUUGGUAAGGUAAUGGCUUACCAAGGCAACGAUGCAUAGCCGACCUGAGAGGGUGAUCGGCCACAUGGGAACUAGGAAACGGCCCAGACUCCUACGGGAGGAAGCAGUAGGGAAUCUUCGGCAAUGGAGGAAAGCCUGACGGAGCAACGCCGCGUGAGGGUUGAGGGUCUUCGGAUCGUAAAACUCUGUUAUUAGGGAAGCGGUACCUAAUCAGAAAGACACGGCUAACUACGUGCCAGCCGCCGCGGUAAUUC
rnacentral:rRNA from 1 species